rnacentral:rRNA from 1 species
CUGGCGGCAGGCUUAACACAUGCAAGUCGAGCGGGCGUAGCAAUACGUCAGCGGCAGACGGGUGAGUAACGCGUGGGAACAUACCUUUUGGUUCGGAACAACACAGGGAAACUUGUGCUAAUACCGGAUAAGCCCUUACGGGGAAAGAUUUAUCGCCGAAAGAUUGGCCCGCGUCUGAUUAGCUAGUUGGUGAGGUAACGGCUCACCAAGGCGACGAUCAGUAGCUGGUCUGAGAGGAUGAUCAGCCACAUUGGGACUGAGACACGGCCCAAACUCCUACGGGAGGCAGCAGUGGGGAAUAUUGGACAAUGGGCGCAAGCCUGAUCCAGCCAUGCCGCGUGAGUGAUGAAGGCCCUAGGGUUGUAAAGCUCUUUUGUGCGGGAAGAUAAUGACGGUACCGCAAGAAUAAGCCCCGGCUAACUUCGUGCCAGCAGCCGCGGUAAUACGAAGGGGGCUAGCGUUGCUCGGAAUCACUGGGCGUAAAGGGUGCGU